rnacentral:rRNA from 1 species
UACGUAGGGCGCAAGCGUUGUCCGGAAUUAUUGGGCGUAAAGAGCUCGUAGGCGGCCUGUUGCGUCCGCUGUGAAAUCCCGGGGCUCAACCCCGGGCCUGCAGUGGAUACGGGCUGGCUGGAGGCAGGCAGGGGAGAACGGAAUUCCUGGUGUAGCGGUGAAAUGCACAGAUAUCAGGAGGAACACCGGUGGCGAAGGCGGUUCUCUGGGCCUGUUCUGACGCUGAGGAGCGAAAGCGUGGGGAGCGAACAGG